UACCCAUCAGGCACUGACUGGAGCUGCAUAGGCCAUCCUGAGGCCAGCAGGUACAGGCCUCCUCCAGGGUCCCCAGCUCCUUCCUGAGACAGCCCUCAAACCCUUGACAACAUUAAAAGGACUUCUGACAGCAGUUCUCUCAGCACUCUCCUAGCUCUUUCUAUCCUAGUCCCGCAGAGCUCUCUCCCCUCUGUCUGGGCAGCAGGCAGUGGAUUUCCUCUUCUGGAAAUCAGCAAUCUGAAACCAAGAUUUUCAACUGUGUACACAUGGCUUCCAGACCCUAUGUAGCCAGUCUGCACAACCAGCAUGCAAGGUUUCUCACUUUACCUCUACAGCCUCUGGUCCCUUCUGGUGGUGCUCAGCCAGCACCAAAGGUUGCGUAAGGGAGAGCAUUUUCUCUGAUUUCUCUUAGCUAGUAAGUGCCAUGCUAAUUCAGAGCAAGUCUGACCAAAGCCUUUGACACCUUCCCAAAUACUGUCCAGCUGAUAAAGAUGAUCACCAUGAGAAUGUGAAUGAAGAUCCUGGAGCUGCGUGAAAAAUAAGCCCCUGACAGCGUACAGGGAUUCCCAUAUAGCAAACUGACUCUAAAAUUUCCUAUACAUUUUAAAGCAAUGCACCCAAAUUUAACUAUUUUCAAGAACUGCCAACCUUUGGGGUCCACUAUUAAUUUUGAAAGCAGACUAUCCACAACGCAAGUCUUGCUGUAGAUGUUGUAUUCACUUAAAAAAAAAUACCAAUUCCUUUGAGUUCUGAGGGAAAAAAACAUUAAUUGUAAUUGUCCUAUGAAUUCUCAAGUGGAUGCUAAAAAUAUAACCAUGAAUGUUUUCUCCAGGAGUGAGUGCUAUGUCCCGGUGUGCCACUGUCAGGGAGGGCAUGUGGAGGCUGUCGUUGGGUCAGCAGGUAAUUAUGCUUUCCCUACACGGCAACUCAUAAGUGGGAGGGGACAUAUUCCUUGCUCAGCAAAGACAUCUGUCUGCAGGUCACCUCAGCUAGCGAGCAACAUCAAAGCCUGGAGGAAUCCAGAGUCUGCAGGGGAGGGAGACCAAGAGCCAUCUGUACCUCUGUGGGUAGGUGAACACCACCGCCUGAAGUUGUCUCUAGCUGAAUGGCAUGCUAACAGCCGUCCACUCGGCUAGAAGAAAAUAAGCUGCAGAAAGAUGAAAUCUCAAACUGGCUGGGUCAGCGAGGAGACUGUUUUCUUUUCCAUUUCAGAAAGACUACUGAAGUCUGGAUGAGCACAGGAAGAUGAAACAUGCACAGACUCAACCUUAGACUAAUUUAUCACCUGGCCCGCCAAGUGCCCACAGUAAUCUACAGUGCUCAGAAGGAGACACCCACCUGGAUCGCCUAUUAUAACUUCUGCCUCGGCGGUAACUGUCACUCCUCUGGCUUCUACUUCGACUCCUACUCCUGCUGUAGUAGCUAUCUAGUUACCCAACCUCUGUCCAUACCUGGAUCGACUGUGGAGAUCGUAAGAGCUGCUCCUGGAUCUGCUCCUACUGGAUGUCCUAGUAGUAACCACAUGAAGAAUCAUCAUCUUGUGGAUCAGGACAGGACAGGUGGCCUGUAUGCUCGUAAUCUCUGCAUUUCCUCUUUCCAGUGAGGAGGCGUUUCACUGCUAUCAUCAUCAUCUGAUUCAGAGCAGGAUCUUGAUCUUGGAGUGUUCAAAGGGAAUCCUGAUAUACUCCUGCUCUGCAGGGAGCAGAGCAGGCAGAAGGACCGAAGUACACUGCUGAGGGGAGCAGCGGGCGGCAGGAGAGGUCUGCGUGCCAUGUGGGACCCUCCUCUGGUGGCUGGGGAGCAGCCGGGGAUUGAACCGGCGCUGCAGAGGCUGCGGGCAGCUUUGCAACCCAGCGCUCAACCGCUGCGCCACUGGGGAGGCCCUCCAUGAACUCUUUUCAUACUUCAGUUUGUUUUGUGUCUGUUAUUAUUACCAUAAUGGCUUGCUUUUACUGAAUAUUUACUAUCGUGUGAGGCAUUAUGAUAAUAAGGAUUCACAAAAGUAUCUUUUAGUGGGGUUAAAUAUUCAUUAAUAUUGGCCAUUUCAGCCAUAUUUAAGUGUACAAUUAUAUUCAACGAUAUACAGCUAUCAAUACAACUUUUCCAAAAAUUUUCAUCAUCCCAACAAAAACUACCCAUUAAGCAUAACUCUCCAUCCUUCCUCAUUCCAUCAGCCUCUGGUAACCUCUAGCUUAUGGCUGAAUAACAUUCCAUUGUAGGUAGAGAUCAUAUUUUAUUUAUCCAUUCAUCUGCUGAUGGACACUAGGGUUGUUUCCACUGUUUUGCUAUUGUGAAUAAUGUUGCAAUAAACAUUAUCAUUCA